rnacentral:rRNA from 1 species
GAUGAACGCUGGCGGCGUGCCUAAUACAUGCAAGUCGAGCGAACGGACGAGAAGCUUGCUUCUCUGAUGUUAGCGGCGGACGGGUGAGUAACACGUGGAUAACCUACCUAUAAGACUGGGAUAACUUCGGGAAACCGGAGCUAAUACCGGAUAAUAUUUUGAACCGCAUGGUUCAAAAGUGAAAGACGGUCUUGCUGUCACUUAUAGAUGGAUCCGCGCUGCAUUAGCUAGUUGGUAAGGUAACGGCUUACCAAGGCAACGAUGCAUAGCCGACCUGAGAGGGUGAUCGGCCACACUGGAACUGAGGCACGGUCCAGACUCCUACGGGAGGCAGCAGUAGGGAAUCUUCCGCAAUGGGCGAAAGCCUGACGGAGCAACGCCGCGUGGGUGAUGAAGGUCUUCGGAUCGUAAAACUCUGUUAUUAGGGAAGAACAUAUGUGUAAGUAACUGUGCACAUCUUGACGGUACCUAAUCAGAAAGCCACGGCUAACUACGUGCCAGCAGCCGCGGUAAUACGUAGGUGGCAAGCGUUAUCCGGAAUUAUUGGGCGUAAAGCGCGCGUAGGCGGUUUUUUAAGUCUGAUGUGAAAGCCCACGGCUCAACCGUGGAGGGUCAUUGGAAACUGGAAAACUUGAGUGCAGAAGAGGAAAGUGGAAUUCCAUGUGUAGCGGUGAAAUGCGCAGAGAUAUGGAGGAACACCAGUGGCGAAGGCGACUUUCUGGUCUGUAACUGACGCUGAUGUGCGAAAGCGUGGGGAUCAAACAGGAUUAGAUACCCUGGUAGUCCACGCCGUAAACGAUGAGUGCUAAGUGUUAGGGGGUUUCCGCCCCUUAGUGCUGCAGCUAACGCAUUAAGCACUCCGCCUGGGGAGUACGACCGCAAGGUUGAAACUCAAAGGAAUUGACGGGGACCCGCACAAGCGGUGGAGCAUGUGGUUUAAUUCGAAGCAACGCGAAGAACCUUACCAAAUCUUGACAUCCUUUGACAACUCUAGAGAUAGAGCCUACCCCUUCGGGGGACAAAGUGACAGGUGGUGCAUGGUUGUCGUCAGCUCGUGUCGUGAGAUGUUGGGUUAAGUCCCGCAACGAGCGCAACCCUUAAGCUUAGUUGCCAUCAUUAAGUUGGGCACUCUAAGUUGACUGCCGGUGACAAACCGGAGGAAGGUGGGGAUGACGUCAAAUCAUCAUGCCCCUUAUGAUUUGGGCUACACACGUGCUACAAUGGACAAUACAAAGGGCAGCGAAACCGCGAGGUCAAGCAAAUCCCAUAAAGUUGUUCUCAGUUCGGAUUGUAGUCUGCAACUUGACUACAUGAAGCUGGAAUCGCUAGUAAUCGUAGAUCAGCAUGCUACGGUGAAUACGUUCCCGGGUCU